UGCAUUCUUUCUUGUAAUAGUAUAUCUUCACUUUUUAGAACUAGAAUAUUGGUUGCAACUCUUAUAUAGUCGUAGACCUGAGCUUUAGUAAGUAAUUCAACUGGAUUUCUUCACUAUUUUGCUUGUGCCAUGCUUAUACACGUGUAGUGUAAACGUCACAAUACAUCACUUCCGGUGCCAAGGAUCGAGCGCAUCCUGUUUCAUAUCCAUGUGUGUAUGUACAGUGCUUCGCAGGUUGCUUGACCCAGUUUCUGCUCACGUGACAUGUAUUACUAGUAUGGUGAGAGUCACGUGAUUAACGAGUUUGCAGGAUCAAGCAACCUGCAAAGCACUGUAGUAUCUAUGCUGACAUAGAUAUUAUAGACUACGUAACCGGGAUUGGAAACAGAUCACGUGAUCCCAUUCAAAUCAAUGUAACUAUUCAGGUACAGUCUCUGUGACAGUGAGAGGCGGACG